rnacentral:rRNA from 1 species
CCUACGGGGGGCAGCAGUGAGGAAUAUUGGUCAAUGGGCGCGAGCCUGAACCAGCCAAGUAGCGUGAAGGAUGACUGCCCUACGGGUUGUACACUUCUUUUAUAAAGGAAUAAAGUGAGGCACGUGUGCCUUUUUGUAUGUACUUUAUGAAUAAGGAUCGGCUAACUCCGCGCCAGCAGCCGCGGUAAUACGGAGGAUCCGAGCGUUAUCCGGAUUUAUUGGGUUUAAAGGGAGCGUAGAUGGGUUGUUAAGACAGUUGUGAAUGUUUGCGGCUCAACCGGAAAAUUGCAAUUGAUACUGGCAGUCUUGAGUACAGUUGAGGUAGGCGGAAUUCGUGGUGGAGCGGUGAAAUGCUUAGAUAUCACGAAGAACUCCGAUUGCGAAGGCAGCUUACUAAACUGCCACUGACAUUGAUGCUCGAAAGUGUGGGUAUCAAACAGGAUUAGAUACCCUGGUAGUC